ACAUUGGACAGGACAACAAGCUUCAAGUUACCAAGGGUCCUAGUUAUGUUCACUCCAUGAUCAUCGCCUUCGAAAGAGUCAUCAUUCUUCAAACGACUCUAUUUCCUCUGUACCGUCGAUACAAUCAAUCCGAGACCAAUCCAUCCAGCCCUGUCGCCACGGCCCCUAACCUCCCAAAAGAAGUCAAACGUUGGCAAUGAAUUACGCAAGAAUCUGCCGUCCAGGCGAUCGAGGCCAGAUCCUCAGGUACCGUUUGUGUACCGGAUAUCCAGUAGAGCCGCCUCCGCAAACUCCAAAGUUCAGCAUCGAAGGAAAAAAGAAACUAAAUACAUCAUGAAAAGAAAAAAGAAAAACCAUAAAAUAUAAAUAUAAAUUGAUUACUAGACCCGCCCGCGGCAGAGGCCAGGUCUCUCGUCAUUUUCGUUAGUUUCCCAUCCGCGCUCCACUUAGUCGCAACUCUCUUCGGGUUUGCUCUCUGGAGUCGUUGAGUUAAAUUCAGUCGAGCCUCUCCCGGAUUUCAUCCUUCCAAUCCCGCCGCUGAUCCGCACCGGUGGCUAGAGUUUCGGGUGAGAUGUUGAUGUCCGCGGCCUUUUUGAUUUUUUAACCUCUUCGGAAGCUUGGGGGGCUUUUGUCCGGUCCGAGAGCCACUACCACCACAACUACCGCCGGAGUUAUCAAGCUUGGCCCGGCUUUCUGGAGCGACCGUUUAUUUUACUGUUUCGUAUAUGUAUCGCCGGUAUUCUAUGCU
rnacentral:sRNA from 1 species